AAUUGUCAACCAAUACUGGUUGGAGUUUGGGGGUUGCUGGUAGUCAGCUCUCCUGAAAUUGAUUAAUGCAUGGCCUUUGAUGUGAUAAUGAUCGUCAUGGGCUGGCAUGUCUAGCUAAGCUUUAGUUAUUAGUCUCUGACGAACACAAAGCUAUCGAUC
rnacentral:misc_RNA from 1 species